rnacentral:RNase_P_RNA from 1 species
GAAGUCCGCCAGGCAGCCGCUGGAUGAGCAAUCAUCUGGAGGAAAGUCCGGGCCCCAUAGAGCAGGAUGCCGGCUAACGGCCGGGCGCAGCAAGUCGCAAGACCCAAGGCGACAGACAGUGCAACAGAAAGAUACCGCCUAAGUUCGCAAGAACUGGUAAGGGUGAAAUGGUGGGGUAAGAGCCCACCGCGGACGUGGUAACACGGACGGCACGGCAAACCUCAUCCGGGGCAAGGCCAAAUAGGGGAGCAUUGACGUUGCUCGCGUCGCUCCCGGGUAGGCUGCUAGAGGCCGUCAGCAAUGGCGGUCCCAGAGGAAUGGCUGCCCACGACAGAACCCGGCUUAUCGGCGGACUUCCCCU